UCGGGUGUGGUGUAACGGUUAACAUUGCUGUCUUUCAAGCAACUUGAUUACCAAAUCAGCUUGUGAGGCCACAGCGGCCCCGGGUUCGACUCCCGGCAUCCGAA